rnacentral:misc_RNA from 1 species
AUUAUUUGAAUGAUAUUUCCAAUUUUCGACUUCGAUUUGUGAGAAAAAUUAUGCCAUAAAAACAUAACUCGGAACCCGCGCGCACGAUAACUUAGAAAAUGGCAACGUUGUAACAUGAAUGAUAACUACAUCACUGUGGGGGACGAAGCUCACACACAGACACAGCAAGCUUAACAACGCGCAUGUGCAGAGAGACAUGCGGCAAGCGCAUAAGACAAAAUGUGCGAAUUGGCGCUUAACAUUGAUACCGAGCAGACGUAUGAGAAAACAACUGGUGAUAAUCUUGAAUAAAGACCAAUUCAACACACUGCGGUGGACAAUACAAGAAAGUUUAUCCUCAUAUUAGGAGUCUUGGAAAAUGGCAAAAUAGGCCACAUGUACGCCAAUUGUUACAAUCCAAUAUCGACAUGCAUCAUUUAUGAAUUAUUGCUAAAACUAGGAUGUUAUAUAGACGAGAACAUAAAAGGAGUUUGCUGU